rnacentral:tRNA from 6 species
GCCUGUGUAGCUCAGUGGUAGAGCACUUCCUUGGUAAGGAAGAGGUCCCGAGUUCAAAUCUCGGCACCGGCUC